rnacentral:rRNA from 1 species
UCGAGCGGUAACAGGAAGAAGCUUGCUUCUUUGCUGACGAGCGGCGGACGGGUGAGUAAUACUUGGGAACUUGCCUCUAGGCGGGGGACAACCACUGGAAACGGUGGCUAAUACCGCAUAAUGUCUACGGACCAAAGUGGGGGACCUUCGGGCCUCACACCUAGAGAUGGGCCCAAGCGGGAUUAGCUAGUUGGUGAGGUAACGGCUCACCAAGGCGACGAUCCCUAGCUGUUCUGAGAGGAUGAUCAGCCACACUGGGACUGAGACACGGCCCAGACUCCUACGGGAGGCAGCAGUGGGGAAUAUUGGACAAUGGGGGCAACCCUGAUCCAGCCAUGCCGCGUGUGUGAAGAAGGCCUUCGGGUUGUAAAGCACUUUCAGUGGUGAGGAAAGGGUAAUCGUUAAUAGCGGUUACAGUUGACGUUAGCCACAGAAGAAGCACCGGCUAACUCCGUGCCAGCGGCCGCGGUAAUACGGAGGGUGCAAGCGUUAAUCGGAAUUACUGGGCGUAAAGCGUACGUAGGCGGUGUGUUAAGCAAGAUGUGAAAGCCCCGGGCUCAACCUGGGAAUGGCAUUUUGAACUGGCACGCUAGAGUCCUGAAGAGGGUGGUAGAAUUUCCAGUGUAGCGGUGAAAUGCGUAGAUAUUGGAAGGAAUACCGGUGGCGAAGGCGGCCACCUGGUCAGAGACUGACGCUGAGGUACGAAAGCGUGGGGAGCAAACAGGAUUAGAUACCCUGGUAGUCCACGCCGUAAACGAUGUCAACUAGUUGUUCGUGUCUUUAAGACGUGAGUAACGCAGCUGACGCACUAAGUUGACCGCCUGGGGAGUACGGCCGCAAGGUUAAAACUCAAUGAAUUGACGGGGGGCCCGCACAAGCGGUGGAGCAUGUGGUUUAAUUCGAUG